rnacentral:rRNA from 1 species
GACGUAGGGCGCGAGCGUUGUCCGGAUUUAUUGGGCGUAAAGAGCUCGUAGGCGGCUUGUCGCGUCGUCCGUGAAAACCUGCGGCUCAACUGCAGGCUGGCGGUCGAUACGGGCAGGCUGGAGUUCGGUAGGGGAGACUGGAAUUCCUGGUGUAGCGGUGAAAUGCGCAGAUAUCAGGAGGAACACCGGUGGCGAAGGCGGAUCUCUGGGCCUUACCUGACGCUCAGGUGCGAAAGCUAGGGGAGCGAACAGG